GUGGAUAUCCCCUGUCUAGCUGGAUCGUGUGGUAGGCCGCGUAGGUGACAGUUACGUUGGUCCCCUGUAGUCCACCUCCUGUUAGCAGGACGGGUAGGGUUUAUCGGCCUAUGGAUAAGCAUCCUUUGUGGUGUAUUCUUAUCACGUGGUUCGUCCCAGACAUAGACAUACCCCUUUGAAGUAGAGAAACCAUAGUUAUCCUCUCUAUUCUGCUACCAUCGCUCGUAUACUAGAUUGCUCAACUCUAUAUUCCCCUAUUAUUACCCAUUGUUAUCUUACCUUUUAUAUUGUUCUUAUUCAAUUCUACAAUCUUUCCUAUUUACACUUAUCUAUCUAUCUUGGUUAAGUUAGAGCGUAGUUGGUUCUCCCGUUUCCCUGUGCAUAUGAUAAAACCUUUAACUGGGUAAAAGCUACAACGGUAUCCGUCCGCUUGCGGAUUUAUCUGUGUGCGUAUAAAUACCAUAGUACACUCUAGUGCCAUGCUGGGGAUGACAACCUAGUAUUCAAGUGGUGUUAGCAAGUGUCAACAAGCAUUUUUGGCACCGUUGCUGGGGAGACGGUUGCUGAGUUGACUACGAACUAGCUUAAUCAUUUUCUAAAAAAAUAAUAAAAAAAUAUUUUUCCUUUUAUCCUUUUCCUCAUCUCUGCUAUUCUUUCUUCUUAUCUAAUCCUUGAUCUCUAGUCUAUAAUGAAUACAAACAUGUCUAUCUAUCAGUUUAAUAGACCUAUGGGCACACAUCUCGAACCACCAAAAUCUUCAAAGCCUAUCAUGACAUCUAGUUUUGAGAUAAGCCCGGAAUACAUAGAAUUUCUUCAAAAACAACCUUUCUCAGGAGAAGGUGAGGAAAACCCAUACACGCACC
rnacentral:lncRNA from 1 species